CAGCCGCCGCGGUAAUUCGUAGGGUGCGAGCGUUAAUCGGAUUUACUGGGCGUAAAGCGUGCGCAGGCGGCCCGUUAAGACAGGUGUGAAAUCCCUGGGCUCAACCUAGGAAUUGCGCUUGUGACUGGCGGGCUCGAGUACGGUAGAGGGGGGUGGAAUUCCUGGUGUAGCAGUGAAAUGCGUAGAGAUCAGGAGGAACACCGAUGGCGAAGGCAGCCCCCUGGGCCUGUACUGACGCUCAUGCACGAAAGCGUGGGGAGCAAACAGGAUUAGAUACCCUGGUAGUCCACGCCCUAAACGAUGGGUACUAGCCGGUUGGUGCGCGAUAGCGCUGAGUGGCGAAGCUAACGCGUGAAGUACCCCGCCUGGGGAGUACGGCCGCAAGGUUGAAACUUAAAGGAAUUGGCGGG
rnacentral:rRNA from 1 species